ACGUGAUCUGAGUUCAGACCGGAGUAAUCCAGGUCGGUUUCUAUCUAUAAUACCGCUUUUUCUAGUACGAAAGGACCGAAAAAACAUGGCCCAUGCUAUUGUAAGCCAUCAUCAGUAAACUAUGAUUUCAACUUAAUUUCCUACUGACCUUCAACUGCCCUUAAAAUAAAAGG
rnacentral:rRNA from 1 species